UGGGCAUGGAGGUGAUUAUAUGGAAUAUAUGCAGGGUAGUGGUGGGUCCUUGGGACGUUUGCGCUGGGUUCGUGGGGCACUGGUGCGGAGCACUGUUCUUUGUAGGUUGGCGUCGGUUGCGGUGCAGGUGUGGGUUGGAGCGCUGAUUAUUGAGGAGGUGCUUCCGCGGGUUGCUCAGGGAUUCCAGUUGUUUAUCAUUGAUGAUCGGCGCCUGUUUUUUGCGUUUGUAUAUUUGUGGGGUUUCUGCUGUGGGGAGGUCUUCGGUAGAGUGCACUGGUUUGGUUGUCCUUGAAUCUUCCCAAUGGAUACUAGUGUCAUCUUCAUGCGCUCGUUUGGCCAGAGCUGUUGUUAGUUUGGCAGUAGUAAUAUCUCUUUUAUGCUCUUUGGGCCUAUCCUCCAGGUUCCUUGCUGUUGCUCCCACGUAGAAUUCUUCUGUCCCUCUUUGCUGGUC
rnacentral:lncRNA from 1 species